rnacentral:rRNA from 1 species
CGAAACUAAGUGAGCUACUUAAAAAUAGCCCUAGAGCUAACCCGUCUCUGUUGCAAAAGAGUGGGAAAAUUCUUAAGUAGAGGUGACAGACCUAUCGAACUUAGAGAUAGCUGGUUUUUUAAGAAAAGAAUUUAAGUUCUGCUUUAAAUUUUUCUAUUACACAAAAAUACACAUAAAUUUAAAAGUUACUCAAAUAAGGCACAGCUUAUUUGAAACAGGACACAACCUAAAACCUAGGGUAAGAUAAAUAAAAUUUUAACAAGUGGGCCUAAGAGCAGCCACCUUUUAAAAAGCGUCAAAGCUUAGCAACAAUAAUCUUUUUAAUUCCUCUAUUUGAUUCUAACCCUUACACACUAUUAAAAAACUCCAUAAAAUUAUGGAAGCUAUUAUGCUAGAACAAGUAACAAGAAAAAGACUUUCUCCAAAAUGUAAGUUUAAGCCAUAAUAGACUCCCUACUGGCAAUUAACGUUUUUAAACCUAUUGUAACAACACUAGCGAGAGAAAUUUACAUUUUCUAACGUUAACCUUACACAAGCACAU